rnacentral:rRNA from 1 species
AACGUAGGUGGCGAGCGUUAUCCGGAUUUACUGGGCGUAAAGGGCGCGUAGGCGGCGCAACAAGUCACUUGUGAAAUCUCCGGGCUUAACCCGGAGCGGCCAAGUGAUACUGUCGUGCUAGAGUGCGGAAGGGGCUACUGGAAUUCUCGGUGUAGCGGUGAAAUGCGUAGAUAUCGAGAGGAACACCUGCGGCGAAGGCGGGUUGCUGGGCUGACACUGACGCUGAGGCGCGAAAGCCAGGGGAGCGAACGGG